rnacentral:lncRNA from 1 species
CCCGCGGAGGCAGGUAGAAGAUUCUGAGGCCCUGGGCGGGAACUAGUAAGCCACAAUCUGGAAGAGUCUUUUAUCACCAUGUGGAGGAGAACUAGAGCACUCAUGUUGAACUAUUACCGAGAAAAGUAAUCAACUUCUUUUGUGUUAAGUCACUGAAAGUAAAAUUUCUAGCUGGACAUAUGGCUCCCCAGAAUGAAGUCUGUGCUCCCUAGCAUCCCUUCAGCAUCUUUGGGGCUACCGGAUAAAUUCUGAGCAAUGGACAUGUAAAGAAGUGUUGUGUGGUUGCAUCUGGGAAGUUCCUUUAUGCUUUGUCCUUUAUUUUUCACCCUCCUCUUCAUGAUGGCUGAACAUUUGUACAAUGGCCAGACCUGGAGAAACCAUCUUGGGGGGCCUUGGGAAUGGAGGUCCAGCCCUGGGGAGCAACAAAGUCAGAGGAUCCUAAAUUUCAUGAAGGAGGAUCCUGGAACUUGGGCUUAUAGACUUUUAAAUGAGAGAAGAUAAAAAAAAAGAAAGGCCUAUUUCAUUUAAGAAAUGAAUAGUUUUUAUUUUUCUAUUACUUCUAGUCAAACCUAAUUCCAUUUCCUAUUUGGCUGUGACAGCAGAUCCUUGUGCAGUGACUGACACAUAGUGGGUGUUCAAUAGAUGUUUGAAGCAAUCUGGGAGGUAUCCCUGAUACCUUCUCCUUCCCCAUAUCCAACUCAGCAUUGAUGUCUAUCAGUUUUACCUUCUGACAUCUCUCAAAUCUGUGCACUUGUCUUAAUCUCCCUCCACCCAUGUGAGCUGAAGCUUCUCUAGACCUUGUGUUGCCUAGGCUACUCAAAAGCCUUCUAAAUGGUCUCAUCACAUCACAUCC